CAGCAGCCGCGGUAAUACGAAGGGGGCUAGCGUUGCUCGGAAUGACUGGGCGUAAAGGGCGCGUAGGCGGCGAUCAAAGUCAGGCGUGAAAUUCCUGGGCUCAACCUGGGGGCUGCGCUUGAUACUUGGUUACUUGAGUGGGGAAGAGGGUCGUGGAAUUCCCAGUGUAGAGGUGAAAUUCGUAGAUAUUCGGAAGAACACCAGUGGCGAAGGCGGCUCACUGGCUCAUACUGGACGCUGAGAUGCGAAGGCGUGGGGAGCAAACAGGAUUAGAUACCCGCGUAGUCCCUGUCUCUUAUAA
rnacentral:rRNA from 1 species